CCAGACUCCUACGGGAGGCAGCAGUCGGGAAUAUUGCGCAAUGGAGGAAACUCUGACGCAGUGACGCCGCGUAUAGGAAGAAGUUUUUCGGAAUGUAAACUAUUGUCGUUAGGGAAGAGAAAGGACAGUACCUAAGGAGGAAGCUCCGGCUAAAUACGUGCCAGCAGCCGCGGUAAUACGUAUGGAGCAAGCGUUAUCCGGAUUUACUGGGUGUAAAGGGAGCGCAGGCGGCCUUGCAAGUCUGAUGUGAAAGGCCGGGGCCCAACCCCGGGACUGCAUUGGAAACUGCGAGGCUGGAGUGUCGGAGAGGCAGGCGGAAUUCCUAGUGUAGCGGUGAAAUGCGUAGAUAUUAGGAGGAACACCAGUGGCGAAGGCGGCCUGCUGGACGAUGACUGACGCUGAGGCUCGAAAGCGUGGGGAGCAAACAGGAUUAGAUACCCCAGUA
rnacentral:rRNA from 1 species